GACGAACGCUGGCGGCGUGCUUAACACAUGCAAGUCGAACGGAAAGGCCCUGCUUUUGUUGGGUGCUCGAGUGGCGAACGGGUAAGUAACACGUGAGUAACCUGCCCUUGACUUUGGGAUAACUUCAGGUAACUGUGGCUCAUACCGGAUAGGAGCUCCUGCUGCAUGGUGGGGGUUGGAACGGUUCGGCGGUUGUGGAUGGACUCGCGGCUUAUCGGCUUGUUGGUGGGGUAGUGGCCUACCAAGGCGUUGACGGGUGGCCCGCCUGGGAGGGUGGCCGGGCACAUUGGGACUGAGAGACGGCCCAGACCCCCACGGGGGGCAGCAGGGGGGAAUAUUGCAAAAUGGGCGCAAGCCUGAUGCAGGAACGCCGCGGGCGGGAUGGCGGCCUUCGGGUUGUAAACCGCUUUCAGCAGGGACGAAGCUUUUUGUGACGGUAACUGGAAAAGAAGCACCGGCUAACUACGUG
rnacentral:rRNA from 1 species